rnacentral:rRNA from 1 species
UACGGAGGGUGCGAGCGUUGUCCGGAAUCACUGGGCGUAAAGGGCGCGUAGGUGGCGCGGGCAGUCAACGGUGAAAGUUCGGGGCUCAACCCUGAAUCGGCCGUCGAUACUCCCGGGCUUGAGCACUGUAGAGGCAGAUGGAAUUCCUGGUGUAGCGGUGAAAUGCGCAGAUAUCAGGAGGAACACCAAUGGCGAAGGCAGCUCGCUGGGACGUGACUGACGCUGAGACGCGAAAGCGUGGGGAGCAAACAGG